GGCCUUCGGGUUGUAAACCUCUUUCAGUAGGGAAGAAGCGAGAGUGACGGUACCUGCAGAAGAAGCGCCGGCUAACUACGUGCCAGCAGCCGCGGUAAUACGUAGGGCGCAAGCGUUAUCCGGAAUUAUUGGGCGUAAAGAGCUCGUAGGCGGUUUGUCGCGUCUGCCGUGAAAGUCCGGGGCUCAACUCCGGAUCUGCGGUGGGUACGGGCAGACUAGAGUGAUGUAGGGGAGACUGGAAUUCCUGGUGUAGCGGUGAAAUGCGCAGAUAUCAGGAGGAACACCGAUGGCGAAGGCAGGUCUCUGGGCAUUAACUGACGCUGAGGAGCGAAAGCAUGGGGAGCGAACAGGAUUAGAUACCCUGGUAGUCCAUGCCGUAAACGUUGGGCACUAGGUGUGGGGGACAUUCCACGUUUUCCGCGCCGUAGCUAACGCAUUAAGUGCCCCGCCUGGGGAGUACGGCCGCAAGGCUAAAACUCAAAGGAAUUGACGGGGGCCCGCACAAGCGGCGGAGCAUGCGGAUUAAUUCGAUGCAACGCGAAGAACCUUACCAAGGCUUGACAUGAACCGGACCGCUGCAGAAAUGUGGUUUCCCCUUUGGGGCUGGUUUACAGGUGGUGCAUGGUUGUCGUCAGCUCGUGUCGUGAGAUGUUGGGUUAAGUCCCGCAACGAGCGCAACCCUCGUUCUAUGUUGCCAGCACGUG
rnacentral:rRNA from 1 species